rnacentral:rRNA from 1 species
GCACAAGCGGUGGAGCAUGUGGUUUAAAUUCGAAGCAACGCGAAGAACCUUACCAGGCCUUUGACAUGCAGAGAACUUUCCAGAGAUGGGAUUGGUGCCUCGGGAACUCUGACACAGGUGCUGCAUGGCUGUCGUCAGCUCGUGUCGUGAGAUGUUGGGUUAAGUCCCGUAACGAGCGCAACCCUUGUCCUUAGUUACCAGCACGUUAUGGUGGGCACUCUAAGGAGACUGCCGGUGACAAACCGGAGGAAGGUGGGGAUGACGUCAAGUCAUCACGGCCCUUACGGCCUGGGCUACACACGUGCUACAAUGGUCGGUACAAAGGGUUGCCAAGCCGCGAGGUGGAGCUAAUCCCAUAAAACCGAUCGUAGUCCGGAUCGCAGUCUGCAACUCGACUGCGUGAAGUCGGAAUCGCUAGUAAUCGUGAAUCAGAAUGUCAACGGUGAAUACGUUCCCGGGCCUU